GAUCUUUAUUUUUAUUUUUUAUAAAUUAAAAAGAUUGAAUAAAUUUAUAAUAAAAUUAAAAAUUUUAUUGGGGUGAUAUUAAAAUUUAAAAAACUUUUAAUUUUAAUUACAUUAAUUUAUGAAUAAUUGAUCCAAUUUUAUUGAUUAAAAAUUUAAGUUACCUUAGGGAUAACAGCGUAAUUUUUUUUUAGAGUUCAUAUCGACAAAAAAGAUUGC
rnacentral:rRNA from 1 species